rnacentral:lncRNA from 1 species
UCUAUUAAAAAAAAAGCACACCUAGAAAUGGAAAGUUGCUUAACAUAACAAAUGCCAUAUAUGACAAGCCCGCAGCUAACAUCGUACCUAAAAGUGGAAAACCGAAAACUCUAGGAUCGGAAACAAGGCAAAGACUCCCACUCUCACCAUUUCUAGUCAACAUAAGACCAGCUCUAAAGGAGUGUAAAUAUUUCUCCCUUGAGCCAGUCUCUCCUUAAAUUCUUAUUAGCACCUGUAGAGCUCCUUCUAACACAGCGGUUCUCAAGGUGUGGUUUAAUGAUUAGCCACAUUCGUUUCACGUUUCAUGUGGAACCUUGUUAGCAGUGCAAAUUCUUGCGCUCCCCCCAGGUCAAGUGAAUCACAAACAGUAGGAAUGGGUGUCAUCAAUUGUGUUUAACAAGCCCUUCAGGUGAAUUGGUUUCCCACUGAAGUAUAAGAGCAACUGUCCAAUCACGGGCAAGCACUAACGCCAGAGGUCAAAUGGAGGAUUUCAGUGGGAGGAAUUAAGAAGUGACCUCGUGCAAGAUUCCUAGUUCUAGUCUUUGUUUUUAUCAACAAAGGAGAGGCAAAAAGGGUAUGGAAACAAGGGGCAGUGAAGUACUGGGUCCAAUAAUUAAAUCUACCACCUUGGCCCCAGAAUGUGAGAUUCAUGCAGACGGAAACCCAGGAAUUUCUUGGUGAUUCUGUUACCCAUGGAGCGUAGAUCAGCGCUUGGUACGUGGUAAGCUUUCACAAAUCCUUGCUAAACUACGGAAGGCUUAUUUAAUCACAAAUAAUAUAGGUUAUUCCUGUAUUUUAAAUACAAGUGGCUUUUUGUUUGUUUGUUUGUUUUGGAAACAGUCCAGGUGGCUUGCUGCGGCGCUGCAGAGGGAAAACCAGAAUGGAUACUCUCUCGGGGAAGCAGAUCUGAGAAAAGACAACCUAGAAGGGGCUCGUGCACAUGUUGCAUUUUCUUCUCUGGAGUUUGUCAACCAAAUACAUCGCUUCACUCCCGUAAGAAAUGGACAAAGCUACUCAAGCGUGUCUCGCAGUGAGGGAGUAGUGAAUUGUGCGAUGAUAUGAGUCCAGCAGGCUGUCAGAGUACUUGGGAAGAAUACAUACCUACCAGCAUUUCGUGAAGGUACGUGAGGAAGGGGAGCAACAGAAGACUGGAGGGUAACAUGGGAAUUGGAAAGAGUUUUCAGGAUGGAAAUUUCAUUUCCAACAAUCCAAAUGAAAAAGAAAUUAUGGUGUGCUCCUGAGACAAGUAGAAAGUCAGCCUAGGUGUGAAAUAAUGUGUGUGGGGUGGGAAUGGAGUGGGACACAGAAUGGACAUGGGUUAGGAAAGCAGGAAGUAAACAGUGAAUCCUGGAAGUUUGAAUGGGUUUCUUAGGUUCUGAAUACGUUAAAGUAGGCACAUAAAUAUUUAGUGAAAACAAGACUUGACGAUCUUUAACAUAUGUGUAGGAUCUAAAAAUGAAAACAUCAGAAAAUUGUCACUUCCUCAAUAGUAUUAGAAAUCUGAGUCUCUCUCCUACUUAAUCUGACCUCUAGCCUUG